GUGACCUCGCCUAUCUUCGCUGGCCCAUGCGUGAUUCCCAACCAUAUUUACAUGGAUAACAAACGAAAGGGAAUUGAAGAAGCUAUGCGAUGGUACACACGUAACGAACGUCAAACCAUGUGGGAAAAAGGUGUCACGUGACCUCACGUAUCUUUCGCUGGCCCAUGCGCGAUUCCCAUCCAUAUUGACAUGCAUAUCAAAAGAACGGGAAUUGAAGAAGCUCUGCGAUGGUACACACGUAACGAACGUCAAACCAGGUGGGAAAAAGGUCUCACGUGACCUCACGUAUCUUUCGCUGGUCCAUGCGUGAUUCCCAACCAUAUUGACAUGGAUAUCAAAGGAACGGCCUUCGAAGAAGCUUUGCGAUGGUACACACGUAAAGAACGUCAAACCAGGUAGGAAAAGGGUGUCACGUGACCUCUCGUAUCUUUCGCUGGUCCAUGCGUGAUUCCCAACCAUACUUACAUGGAUAUCAAACGAACGGGCUUUGAAGAAGCUCUGCGAUGGUACGCACGUCGCGUACUUCAAACAACGUGAAAAAAGAGUCACGUGACAUCACGUAACUUUCGCCAGGCUCUCAUGGGUCAUUCCCAACCGUACUCAUAUACAUAUCAAACGAAUGCGCUUCAAUAAAGCUCUGCGCUUGUGCCCACGAAAAGCACGUCAGACCAAGUAUAAAGCAGUGUCAAGUGACCUCAAAAUUUUCAAUAGACAUUGGGUGAUCUACGAGCAUACUAACAAUGCAUAUUAAACGAACGGGAAUCGAACAGUCAAUCUGACUGUUUCCACGUAAAACGACGGAAACCAAGAAGAAAAGCGCGUCACAUGACUUCACGUAACUCUGCAUCGAAUGUGACUGACUACUGAACAGAUUGACAUGGAUAUCACGGCGCCAGGAAUUUACCUUGAAAGGAGGUGAUGCGC